UCCUAGUCCAACACUCUAACCACUAUGCUAUGCUGGCUCUCUUUGUGUUUUAACUUUGCGUUCUAGUGCUACAACUUUGCAAGUCCAUGGCAGAAAAAUAGCUAUAUUUUCCCAUUGUAGGAGUUUGAGAUUCUGGGGAUAGUUUUUAAUACGAUCCUGCCAAGUCGAAGCAUUUCUCCCCUGUUGUCGUGUGUAACCUAGAAAGCGCCCAGAUGAGGCUAGAGAUGAGGGACCUUUUUCUAAUGGGGUGUAUAGCAAAGUAAAGUGUGCCGCUGAGUUGGUGUCGACUCCUGGCGCCCACAGAGCCCUGAGGUUGUCUUUGAUAGAAUACAGGAGGGGGUUAGCAUUGCCUCCUCCCCUGCAGUAUGAGAUGAUGCCUUUCAGCAUCUUCCUAUAUUGCUGCUGCCUGAUAUAGUCCCAGUGGGGAUUCGAACCAGCAACCUUCUGCUUGUGAGUCAAGCAUUUCCCCGCUGCGCCACUUAAGAUGUCUAAUGGUGUAGUUCCACCGUAUUGCUAUAGCAGAUGAAAAAAGGAAUAAGAAGAUAUAUUUCUAGCAAUGGUUGCUAACCAUUAUUUACUGAAGGGUCUCUUGUUUGUGCUUCCUCCAGUGAGACAAAGACAAUACGCCAAGUGUUUCGUAAUGUGCAAAUUUAUUUCAGCUAAACUGAAAAAUGAACAGCGUUGGUUACAAGGCAGAGAGCUGAUCAAUUUUAAAAAAACACACACCUCUUGUUUCACUGGAAUGAUCAGUCUCCUCAGAGGUCAAUGGAUAUUUCUGUAGAUUAGUUGUGUCUUAUCAAUGCAGAUUUGUUCUCUUUAUCUAGACACUUUGAUAUGGAGCAUACUGGUAAUAAGGUAUUGGUUUCCCUCCCUACACUGUUCCUACUGAAUAAUUUGCAAUGUUAAUUUUUAAAAAAUAAUUUAAAAAUCCUCUUGUCUCCGUUGGGAGACCUCAUUUUGACACAAACCGGGGACUUUUGCUCUAAUGGCAAUUAUUAAGUGAUUUUCAAGAACGAGGGUACUUCUGCUGCUUAUCAUUUUUGAACAGAGUUUGCAUCAUGCAAGGAUUCUGCAGUGGAGACCCGGUUUACCUGCCUGCUAAAACCACGAAGGAAUAUCAUAUUGAUAUCUGAGUCACCCUUGACAGAACUUUGAACAAAGCUGCCUCGCUGUGACCAUUCUGUUGCUGACAACUUCACCCUGAGCAGUUGUGCUGUCUGCAAAUAUUCCGUGAUGUCACUCCAACAGGCAUUGGUGAUGAAGAACUCAGGAGGCGACAGGAAGCUGACUGGAAGAAGGCAGAAUGGUGACUCUAUCAUGCAAAGACUCAAGGCAGGUAAAUCUCAAUGCUCCAAUCAAACCUGGUGCAGACAGAGCAGAAAUACUUGCCCCAGCAGAGACGGAGGAGAAGAAGGCGAGGUUUUAACGGCCACUCACGCAGAGAGGC